GCAAAUGUCACCAUCUUGCCGGUCAGGGUCUUCACCAAGAUCUGCAUCCCACCUCUGAGACGCUGCACCAGGUGCAGGGUCAACUCCUCCUGGACAUUGUAUUCAGACAGGGUGCGCCCAUCUUCCAGAGCACUAGUAUAAACUCAGAUCAGAGGCCAAUUGCUUCAACAAACCGCUGUCACAACAGAAAACCUGAGGAAUCAAGUUCAUCUUGAAAAUUACAGCAACGAGCCAUUCUGAUAAUAGGAAUAGAACCCAGAGGCACUUUAAGCACGGAGCCACACCCCCUUUGAGACAGGCUCUAACAUGCUUAGGCUUUACUAAAUUGCUGAGGCUGGCCUCAAAUUUACCAGCUUCCUAAGUUGCUGUGAUUACAAGCAUGGGCCACCAUGCUUGGCAUCAUUCUCUAUUUUAAACUUGUUAAGUAGAUGGAAAAUAUAUUACCUGCCACCUUUUCAAAUAAAUCUGAUCUCAUUGACUUCUAUGCAGACCGGUGAUUCAUGCAGCUACUAUGUUAAAGCAGAUUCUUUCCCCUCCCAUCUUACCUUUUUAAAUACCUUUCCUACAAGAAACAUUCUUCUCACACCACCCCAAAGAGUAAAUACAAACCUGUUCAAUGUACACACAUAAAACAUUAAUCUAUCCAACCCUGACACUUUUUUUUUUAUUCCUGACAUUCUUUUAAACUACUGUACACAUUUUUAAAUUAUUUUAAAUUGUAGAUGGACAUGAUACCUUUAUUUUUAUGUGGUGCUAAAGAUUGAAAUCAGUGCCUCAAACACGCUAGGCAAGUGCUCUACCAUUGAGGUACAACCACAGCAUUUUUCUCCAAUGUCAGGCAAGCACUGCACCACUUAGCUACAACCACAGCCCCUUUGUACAUAUUUUCUCAUCAGUAAAAUCAAAUAGUGUCAGCCUCCUGACAGUGCCAUACACCUGCAAUGCUACUCCCAGCAGCUUGGGAAGCUGAGGCAUAACUGUGAGCUCAAAGACAGCCUCAGCAACUCAGUCUCUAAGAAUACGGCUGACUAAGCACCCCUAGGGUCUAAUCCCCAGUACCCCCUAAAAAGUAUCUGCCUCAUAAAAUCAAGGGGUAUAUUGAUUUAUAUAUUUAUAUAAAAUCUACCACUAUCUCUGCUAUUUGCUGUUUUUGUUAUAAUUUUCCUGAGUAUAGGAUAAUUGUAAGGGGAAAAAUAUUUAAAAAGCAUGAAUAACCCAGCUUUUAUUUUUACCUUCCUACAGUUCUAUAUACCACUUUGCAAUGGCAAUUUCUUACUUCAUGGUAACCACAAAAACAUUGAUGCACCAACCCAACACUAAUUCAAAGUUUUAUUUUUUUAAAAUUUAUUUUCUAUUUAUUCAUUUGUAGGUGGUGCUGCAGAUCAAAUCCAGGGCCUCACAUGUGCUAAGCAAGCACUCUACCGUUGAGCUAUCGCCCCAACCCCUUAAUUUAUUUUUAGUUGUUGAUAAACAUUAAACAUGAUGCUGAGAAUUGAACCCAGUGCCUCACACAUGCCAGGCAAGUGCACUGCCACUGAGACCCAGCCCUAAUUCAAAGAUCUUUAAACUGAAUCCUGCUGAUCCAACCCUACUCCAAUUUGAAUAUUCUUAUAACUAAAAAGACAAAAACACGACUUGGAAUGCAACAACUUUAUUGAAAGAAAAGUGCAAAGAAACUUGUCAAAUGCUUAAAAGGGGGAAACUUAGACACCUCCCCUCAAGCGCAGCACCAGGUGCAGGGUGGACUCCUUCUGGAUGUUGUAGUCGGACAGGGUGCGCCCGUCUUCCAGCUGCUUGCCCGCAAAGAUCAACCUCUGCUGGUCGGGGGGGAUGCCCUCCUUGUCUUGGAUCUUUGCCUUGACAUUCUCAAUGGUGUCACUGGGCUCCACCUCCAGGGUGAUGGUCUUGCCAGUCAGGGUCUUCACGAAGAUCUGCAUUGUCUGGUUACAAAAGGGCAACAACAACAAAAAGAACCAAGAAUUUUAGCAGUGCUAAUGGCGAAAGUUCAGUAUCGCUGUAUACUUGUCCAAAUAAUUAAAAGGGGCCUUGUGGCACAAGCCUUUAAUCCCAGAUAGUUGGGAAGCUAUGGGAGGAAGAGGGCAAGUCAUAGGCCAACCUGAACCAUUUAGGGAAACUGACUCAAAAUAAAGAAUGACAUGUAAAUCCCAGCAGCUCUGGAGGCUGAGACAGGAGAGUUGCAAGUUUCAAAGCCAGUCUCAGCAAAAUCAAGGUGCUAAGCAACUCAGUGAGACUCUGUCUCUAAAUAAAAUACAAAAUAGGGCUGGGGCUCAGAGGUUGAGGGCCCCGAGUCCAAUCCCCGGUAGCCCCCUAAAAAAUAAAGAAUGAGAAGUCCUGGGGGUGGAGUUCGGUGGGAGAGCGUCUUCAGAUUCAAUUCCCAUUACCAAGAAACUUUUUUUUUUUUAAGUGAAAAACUUGCCUUAGCAACAUCAAGAAAUACAGGCAGCACUACUGAUAAAUUAGUUCAAAACCUUGGCUUGGAGCACUAAGGCAGCCUGGAAACCUUGACCAAUUUAACCUCAGAGGCCUCAAGUCUCACCCCCCCCCCUCCGGAUGCCGGGUUCUGUCAAUCCAGCAGGGUCUAACCUCGGCCCGAGUCCUGCGACUGAGAAACACCGCCUACACCCACAUGGGCAGGCGGCCCCACCCCGCAUGAGCGAACAGACGGGGUGACGUCACCCGACCGCGACGGUGUGCAGCGCGCCCCAGGAGUAGGACUACGGCGCGGCACCUCAUCCCGGUCUGCACCCCCGGGGGCGGACGACCAGCCCCUCCAGUCACUCGAGCCCCGAAACACUUCACGCCCGCCCGGGCGUUCUCCAACCCCGCCGCAGGGCCAUCUGCCCCCACCUCCCGCUGCGGCCAGGGCCCUCCCGCGCUUCCCUUCCGCCCCCUGACGGCAGGCUCGAGCCCCAGCCUCACAGCCCCUCUCUGCGGCGCGGCUCCUCCCGGUUAAGGUUUCGCAGCGGCCGCCAUUUUGCCGCUUGUCCCCUCGGGUCCGGCGGGGCGCUAAGCGCCAAGCACCAAGCCGCCGGCCCCGAGGCAGGCAGCGCGGCCCCGUCUCCCACACGGCCGCACGGCCAGUAAGCCCCGAGCGCCGCGACGUCAGCUCACCAGCGGCAGCAGCAAGCAGUAGAGUAGCGACAGAACUCACGGCCUCGACGGAACUCACUGCGCCCCGCCCGGCGCCGCCUUAUAUAGGCUGUGGCGUCCACCGCCCGGAGAGAUCCCUCCGCGGAAACGCCGAGAAGGGACUACUUUCCUCCGCCCUUUCCGCCCUCCGGAAAGAAAACGACUAACCGGAACCACCGGAUCCCCGUUCCUGGAAUAUCAUCGGACCGAGGCCGAGGCGUGGGGGGUCGCACGCGUCGG
rnacentral:lncRNA from 1 species